UACGUAGGGUGCGAGCGUUGCCCGGAUUUAUUGGGCGUAAAGGGCUCGUAGGCGGUUUGUCGCGUCGGGAGUGAAAACACGGGGCUUAACCCCGUGCCUGCUUCCGAUACGGGCAGACUAGAGGUAUGCAGGGGAGAACGGAAUUCCUGGUGUAGCGGUGAAAUGCGCAGAUAUCAGGAGGAACACCGGUGGCGAAGGCGGUUCUCUGGGCAUUACCUGACGCUGAGGAGCGAAAGUGUGGGGAGCGAACAGG
rnacentral:rRNA from 1 species